GGUUAAGCGACUAAGCGUACACGGUGGAUGCCCUGGCAGUCAGAGGCGAUGAAGGGCGUGCUAAUCUGCGAUAAGCGCCGGUAAGGUGAUAUGAACCGUUAUAACCGGCGAUACCCGAAUGGGGAAACCCAGUGUGAUUCGUCACACUAUCAUUAACUGAAUCCAUAGGUUAAUGAGGCGAACCGGGGGAACUGAAACAUCUAAGUACCCCGAGGAAAAGAAAUCAACCGAGAUUCCCCCAGUAGCGGCGAGCGAACGGGGAGGAGCCCAGAGCCUGAAUCAGCAUGUGUGUUAGUGGAAGCGUCUGGAAAGGCGCGCGAUACAGGGUGACAGCCCCGUACACAAAAGCGCAUGUGCUGUGAGCUCGAUGAGUAGGGCGGGACACGUGGUAUCCUGUCUGAAUAUGGGGGGACCAUCCUCCAAGGCUAAAUACUCCUGACUGACCGAUAGUGAACCAGUACCGUGAGGGAAAGGCGAAAAGAACCCCGGCGAGGGGAGUGAAAAAGAACCUGAAACCGUGUACGUACAAGCAGUGGGAGCACCCUUUGGGGUGUGACUGCGUACCUUUUGUAUAAUGGGUCAGCGACUUAUAUUCUGUAGCAAGGUUAACCGUAUAGGGGAGCCGGAGGGAAACCGAGUCUUAACCGGGCGUUAAGUUGCAGGGUAUAGACCCGAAACCCGGUGAUCUAGCCAUGGGCAGGUUGAAGGUUGGGUAACACUAACUGGAGGACCGAA
rnacentral:rRNA from 1 species